rnacentral:rRNA from 1 species
CCUACGGGGGGCAGCAGUGGGGAAUAUUGCACAAUGGGGGAAACCCUGAUGCAGCGACGUCGCGUGAGUGAAGAAGUAACUCGGUAUUGUAAGCUCCAUCAGUAGGGAAGAAAAUGACGGUACCUGAGUAACAAUCCCCGGCUAAAUACGUUCCAGCAGCCGCGGUAAUACGUAGGGGGCAAGCGUUAUCCGGAUUUACUGGGCGUAAAGGGAGCGUAGACGGCAGUGCAAGUCUGGAGGGAAAGGCGGGGGCUCAACCCCCGGACUGCUCUGGAAACUGUACGGCUGGAGUGCAGGAGAGGUAAGUGGAAUUCCUAGUGUAGCGGUGAAAUGCGUAGAUAUUAGGAGGAACACCAGUGGCGAAGGCGGCUUACUGGAGUGUAACUGACGUUGAGGCUCGAAAGCGUGGGGAGCGAACAGGAUUAGAUACCCGAGUAGUC